GGAGUGGCUCAAGUGUUAAAUAGACUUGAUGGGAAACCUUUUGAUGAUGCAGAUCAACGACUGUUUGAGGCAUUUGUCAUCUUUUGUGGCCUUGGCAUCAACAACACAAUUAUGUACAAUCAAGUGAAGAAGUCCUGGGCCAAGCAGUCUGUGGCUCUUGACGUGCUGUCAUAUCAUGCAACGUGUUCAAAAGCUGAGGUUGACAAAUUCAAGG